UACAGAGGUCUCAAGCGUUGUUCGGAUUCAUUGGGCGUAAAGGGUGCGUAGGUGGCGCCAUAAGUCGGGUGUGAAAUCUCGGGGCUUAACUCCGAAACUGCAUUCGAUACUGUGGUGCUUGAGGACUGGAGAGGAGACUGGAAUUCAUGGUGUAGCAGUGAAAUGCGUAGAGAUCAUGAGGAAGACCAGUGGCGAAGGCGGGUCUCUGGGCAUUAACUGACGCUGAGGAGCGAAAGCAUGGGGAGCGAACAGG
rnacentral:rRNA from 1 species